rnacentral:rRNA from 1 species
UACAGAGGGUGCAAACGUUGUUCGGAAUUACUGGGCGUAAAGCGCGUGUAGGCGGCCCUGCAAGUCGGAUGUGAAAUCCCUCGGCUUAACCAAGGAAGUGCAUCCGAAACUGCAGUGCUUGAGUACUUAAGAGGAUCGCGGAAUUCCCGGUGUAGAGGUGAAAUUCGUAGAUAUCUGGAGGAACACCGGUGGCGAAGGCGGCAUCCUGGACCGACAUUGACGCUGAGGCGCGAAAGCUAGGGGAGCAAACGGG